rnacentral:rRNA from 1 species
UACAGAGGUCUCACGCGUUGUUCGGAUUCAUUGGGCGUAAAGGGUGCGUAGGUGGCGCGGUAAGUCGGGUGUGAAAUUUCGGAGCUUAACUCCGAAACUGCAUUCGAUACUGCCGUGCUUGAGGACUGGAGAGGAGACUGGAAUUUACGGUGUAGCAGUGAAAUGCGUAGAGAUCGUAAGGAAGACCAGUGGCGAAGGCGGGUCUCUGGACAGUUCCUGACACUGAGGCACGAAGGCCAGGGGAGCAAACGGG